rnacentral:misc_RNA from 1 species
GAUGAAGAACGUAGCGAAAUGCGAUAAGUAAUGUGAAUUGCAGAAUUCAGUGAAUCAUCGAAUCUUUGAACGCACAUUGCGCCCGCCAGCGCUCUGGCGGGCAUGCCUGUUCGAGCGUCAUUUCAACCAUCAAGCCCCCAGGGGCUUGUGCUGGGGCCCUGCGGCUGCCCGCAGGCCCUGAAAACCAGUGGCGGGCUCGCUAGUCACACCGAGCGCAGUAGCACAUCUCGCUCAGGGCGUGCGGCGGGCUCCUGCCGUGAAACCCCCCACUGUAACCCCAAAGGUUGACCUCGGAUCAGGUAGGAAUACCCGCUGAACUUAAGCAUAUCAAUAAGCGGAGGA